UACGUAGGGGGCAAGCGUUGUCCGGAUUCAUUGGGCGUAAAGGGUGCGUAGGCGGCGGGGCAAGUCGGAUGUGAAAUCUCAGGGCUCAACCCUGAAACUGCAUUCGAUACUGCCUUGCUCGAGGACUGGAGAGGAGAUUGGAAUUCACGGUGUAGCAGUGAAAUGCGUAGAUAUCGUGAGGAAGACCAGUGGCGAAGGCGGAUCUCUGGACAGUUCCUGACGCUGAGGCACGAAGGCCAGGGGAGCAAACGGG
rnacentral:rRNA from 1 species